GACAUGGCGGACGGCAGCGGCUGGCAGCCGCCGCGCCCCUGCGAGGCCUAUCGCGCCGAGUGGAAGCUCUGCCGCAGCGCCAGGCACUUCCUGCACCACUACUACGUCCACGGCGAGCGGCCGGCCUGCGAACAGUGGCGGCGCGACCUGGCCAGCUGCCGCGACUGGGAGAAGCGCCGGAGCGCCGAGGCCCAGCAUUCCCUCUGUGAGAGCGAACGGGCACGAGUCCAGGCUGCACGGAAGCACAUCCUGGUGUGGGCCCCGAGGCAGAGCCCCCCUCCAGACUGGCAUCUCCCUCUGCCGCAGGAGAAGGACGAGUGACAAGCACCCCUGCCAUUGGCCUGUGCAGCUUCCUUGGUCUGUUUCAAGUUGCUGUUGCAAAACCCUGGGGACUGUGACAGCCUACACAGUCUAGUGGGUCCCUGUGAGCUCUUGCUGGGUUUGGAACGUGGAGCAGGACAUUGCUGGUCCUACUUGCCCACCCCUCACCAGCCUGCAGGGUACCCUGACGCUGCGAUGUUCUGCAGGACAAUUGCACCGCUUCAGAGCUUCCAGGAGGCUAAGCAUUAUGGCCAGGUACCUGUGAGCAGCCAGGUCAGGCUGGGCACAGUAGCAUAGGAGAUGGCGGUCCUGAGGUCUAGGCUUCUCAGGUAAACUGAAGGGUAGCCCUGACCUGUAUGGACACACAGGUGGGUCAUAAUGAGGUAGCUAAACAGUUGCGCCACUGUGAAUGUCUUUCCUAGUCCUUGGGAAACUGCCUGCUAUGUCUCAGGUUUGGUGAACAUUGUGAGUACUCACACUCUGCUCCACUCAGUUCCACUGCACAUGCAGGCAGGUGUGCCGAGCAGGCAGGGCUUGCUGGCCCCUCUGCACCAGCAGGCUUCACUUGUUAGGCUCCCAGGUCAGCCCCUGGAGACUCUAGUUUUUAAGAAAUGCACACAGCUACAGAACACACAACGUUGCAUAAAGAGGGUUUGUGGACUCACCUUAAGAAAUCCAAGUCCAAGACAUGUGGAAUUAAGGACUCCUUCCCUCAAAAAAAUUUCCCCUGGUGGUUAAUGUAUCAAAAGCCAUUUCAUCUGAUUUCAAAUAGAAGCUGAAAAUUAAGUUUACAUUUGUUAGAUUUUAUAUAUAACAGUGUUGUCUGGACAGUGUUAGAAACUUGUAUGCUUAUUCUCUUGUAGGUGUUUUAAAAUGUAUGAACCACCAAAAACACUAUUUCUCGAAGCGGUCUCUUUAUUACUAAUAGAAUGGUUUCUCAUCCUGUGGUGGCCCUGUUAUGUGAUGCUGAGGGCUAGGCUGGGUCUGUACCCAGCACCCUCCCUGCUCUCUUCCUGGACACAGGCAGCAAGUUGAAUAUCUUUAAAUUUGUUCUUUGGGGUAGAACAAUCCAUCACUUCAGAAGGGUGUCCAUUAAAGAACAGUAUUUCCCUGCUUGAGUGUUUUCUCCUGUGCUCCCUAAGAGCCCCUGUCUGUGUCUGUGAACGGUGGGGGUGGGGGCUGUGUUCACAGGAUCCCAAGAGCAGGAGCAUCUACAGCGGAGCCAGCGUUCCCCCAUCAUCAGGGGAGUAUUGAUGUGUCUAAGGCAACCAAGGUGCCUCCAGCAUGGCUGUGGCUGGAUUAAUGAGCAUUUCCACCCAGUGAGGGAAAAGAAGAAGACUGCUAGAGAUCUACAAGGUUUUUCUUACUCUUAAACACAGGGAAGGGGCAUCUGAAUUUGCAGUCUGCUGUAAUCCCAGCCACUUUGGGAGGCCGAGGCGGGUGGAUCACUUGAGGUCAGAAGUUCGAAACCAACCUGGCCAACAUGGUGAAACUCCAUCUCUAUUAAAAAUACAAAACUUAGCUGGGCAUGGUGGCAUGCGCCUGUGAUCCCAGCUACUCAGGAAGCUAAGACACGAGAAUCGCUUGAACCCCAGAGGCAGAGGUUGCAGUGAGCUGAGAUCGUGCCACUGCACUCCAGCCUAGGCAACAGAGUAAGACUCCGUCUCAAAAAUAAAAUAAUAAAAUGAAUUGGCAGUCUGCAUGUGGUGCCUGGGAUUGCAGCAGCUGCCUUCAGGUUCAUGGGGCAGAGCUGGAGAGUGCAGCAAAAGCCAGGGCAUGCCAGCCAGCACCCCAGUCCAUGAGGGGCCUUCCCUCAGUGCAGCCAUGCUCCCUGCCACCUGCUUGUUUAGCAAGGUAUGCAGUGUGCGACUGCGUGCUCGGUUAGGAAGCAUUGAGUCCUGCCUCUGUAGUGCGACUGUCAUAUUUUGCCUCCUCCUUCACUACUCAAGUUCCACAUCAGCAGAUAAUCUCUCUGGACAGGAUGUUCCUGCAUUUGUUGCUAUGGCAAUUCCUUCACAACAUCUGAGUGUCCACAUGUUGGACAGGGUUUGGGGCUUACAAGACCACAGUUUCGAAACAGACAAGUUGUCUUCAAAGAGUUUCUGUUGUAGUUUGGGGAAAAGACAGACAUUAAACAUCAAUAAAUAGGGAUUUAAAAUGGUGGCUGGAUGUGGUGGCUUACGGCUGUUACCCCAGCACUUUGGGAGGCUGAGGUGGGAGGAUCGCUUGAGCCCAGGAGUUUGAGACCAGCCUGGGCAACAUAACAAGACUCUAUCUCUACAAAAAAUAAACGAGCCAUGCAUGGUGGCACGUAUUUGUAGUUCCAGCUACUUGGGAGUCUGAGAUAGGAGGAUCAUUUGAGCCCAGGAGUUUGAGGCUGCAGUGAGCCAUGAUUUUGCCAGUGUACUUCAGCCUGGGCAACAGAGCGAUAUCCUGUCUCAAAAUAAAUAAAAAUAAAAUGGUGGUAAUUUCUGAAGCAGUUUGGAUAAUUUUCUUUUAUGGUGGUGUUAUGAAGAAAACAAAUACUGCAAUAAGAGCAGUAUAUUUCACACUUUAUGGACAGGUGCUAGGCAUGGUGGCUCACACCUGUAAUCUCAGCUACUUGGGAGGCUGAGGCAGAAGGAUCACUUGGGGAUAGGAGUUUGAGGUUGCAGUCAGCUAUGACUGUGCCACUGCACUCCAGCCUGGGCGACAGAGCAAGACCCCGUCUCUAAAUAAAUAAAUCCUUUUUUUUUUUUUUUUUUUUUUGAGACGGAGUCUCGCUCUGUCGCCCAGGCUGGAGUUCAGUGGCCGGACCUCAGCUCACUGCAGCCUCCGCCUCCCGGGUUUACGCCAUUCUCCUGCCUCAGCCUCCCGAGUAGGUGGGACUACAGGCACCCGCCACCUCGCCCGGCUAGUUUUUUUUUGUAUUUUUUUAGUAGAGACAGGGUUUCACCGUGUUAGCCAGGAUGGUCUCGAUCUCCUGACCUCGUGAUCCGUCCGUCUCAGCCUCCCAAAGUGCUGGGAUUACAGGCUUGAGCCACCGCGCCCGGCUAAAUAAAUAAAUAUUUUAAAAAUAAGUGUUUUGGACAAAACCCCAUAUUAAUAAUAAGUAUUUUACGUCAUUAUUUGGCAUAGACUGUUAUAUAUAGCAUAUUACUGUUGAAAUAUAAAACAAUAUGUAUCCGUACUGUAUGUGAUACAGUGCCAUUUUCAGUAACUGCUGUACACACAGCAACUCAGAUGAAACUCAAGGAAAUUCUUCGGAGCAAAACCAGCCAAUCUUGAAAACAUACAUGUAGCAGGAUUCCAUUUAUGUAACAUUGAUGAAAUAAUGUAAUUACAGAGAUGGAAAACAGAUUAAAGGUUACCAGGGGUUAGGUUAGGGAUGGUGGGGGGGUGGUUCACAUAAGGGAGUCCUGUGGUGUUGAAAACCAUCUGUCAGCCUGACUGAUGGUUACACAGGGCUAUACAUGAAGUCAAAAUUGUGUAGAGUUAGGUACACAAAGGAGUACAGAUAUAACUGGGAAACUGAGUAUGUUCUGUAGACUGUACCAAUGUCAGUUUUUGGCUCCUGAUGUUAACAUUGGGGGAGGCUGGGGCAAGGGUACGCAGCACCUCCCUAGACAACCUCCUAUGCAACCUCCUGUGAAUCUAUAAUUACUUCAAAAUAAAAA
rnacentral:lncRNA from 1 species